AUGCUCGCUUUGGCCGCACAUAGGCUAAAAUUGGAAGACACAGAGAAGGUUAGCAUGGCCUCUGCGCAAGGAUGAUACGCAAAUGCCUGAAGCCUUCCAUGUUAAU
rnacentral:snRNA from 1 species